rnacentral:rRNA from 1 species
UACGUAGGUGGCAAGCGUUGUCCGGAUUUACUGGGCGUAAAGGAUGCGUAGGCGGACAUUUAAGUCAGAUGUGAAAUACCCGAGCUUAACUUGGGUGCUGCAUUUGAAACUGGGUGUCUAGAGUGCAGGAGAGGUAAGUGGAAUUCCUAGUGUAGCGGUGAAAUGCGUAGAGACUAGGAAGAACACCAGUGGCGAAGGCGACUUACUGGACUGUAACUGACGCUGAGGCAUGAAAGCGUGGGGAGCAAACAGG